rnacentral:pre_miRNA from 1 species
UCUUAUGGGUAAGCAAAGAAAGUGGUUCUUGAGAUGGAAUUUACUAUGGGUGAAGAUGCUGUGAA